CCUGUAAUCACAGCACCGAGAGACUGAGGAUAUCAAUAACCUGGAGGCCUGGGGAUUUAGCUCAGCGGCAAAAGCGCCUGCCUGGCAAGCGCAAGGUCGUGAGUUUGGUACCGGAGAAAAACCGAAAAAAAAAAACCUGGAAAUAAUCUACAGGAUGCCAAAAGCCAGUAACAUCACCAUAUACAGAUUUAAAGGCAUUCUAGGGCUGCUUGUUCAGCUGGCAUUUCCAAACCUCCCUAAACUCCUCCGGUGAACUAGUUCCAAAGGCUUCUGAGCUACAUGGGUUGAACACAAGGAACAAUGUCUACCUUGAAGAAAUUGAAGGGGUUAAGCCAUACACGCAUGAGAAAAUAGUACUAGGAGGCAGUGUAGGUUGGCGUUUCACUGCACUACCACUGAUGUCAUGGAAGCCUACAGAUUGGGAAGACCCCAAGAUUUCUUCAGUGGUUCUUCAAUGGUUCCACAGAGUUCUCUGACUAAAGAUCAGCGCCACAGCUGUCAAACAAUGUUGAUAAUUUCAUCAAAAGUUACACUUCAGUGGGAAGUGAGGGAAAUGCCUGUCAUCUUAGCACUCUAGGAGGUCGGGGUAGGAGAAUUCCAAGUUCCAGCACAGUCUCAGAAUAAAAUAAGGACUGGGAGCUAUAACUCAAAGUGAUACUGAUAAUUUAAAGCCCUAAAUUCAAUCCCCAGGACUAAACGAAAGAAAGAAGGAAAGAAAGAUAGAAAGAAAAAAGAAAGAGAGAGAGAGAGAAAUACCUCUGUGCUUAAUGUCUCUCUUUCUGUCUCUCAGCAGUUCCUUGAUGACUCAGGAAGAGCAUCUAUUUCAAUUUCUGUGCUUUGGGAAUAAUAUCUAAUAUUAAAAUCAUACUCCCAAAUUAUAAAAUCUAAGGUUUGGCAGAGACUGGAAGAUCACUUAUUCUAACCAUAACCAAAUGCUUGUGUGUAUUCGCAAUAUUCUCCAUAAAAGUUUCCACUUCAAUCAAGCAAACUCUGCCAUUAAGUCAAGAGGCAAUUCAUUUGAUCUUUUAGUUUUUUGGGUCUUUUUUUUUGGUACCAGGAAUUGAACUCAGGACCUUGUGCUUGCUGGGCACGUGCUUAUGCCACUGAGCUACAUUCCCAGCCCCGUUUGAUCUUUUAGAUAGCUCUGAUUCUUGGGAGAUUCUCUCCAAUUUUGGUCAGAAUUAGCGUACCUGCAGUUUUCAUCCACUGUUCAUUUACUUAUUUAUUUGACUCGAUGUCUUAAGCAAAUGCAAUGCAUCUUUCCAU